rnacentral:rRNA from 1 species
AGUGAACGCUGGCGGUAGGCCUAACACAUGCAAGUCGAACGGCAGCACAGUAAGAGCUUGCUCUUACGGGUGGCGAGUGGCGGACGGGUGAGGAAUACAUCGGAAUCUACUUUUUCGUGGGGGAUAACGUAGGGAAACUUACGCUAAUACCGCAUACGACCUACGGGUGAAAGCAGGGGAUCUUCGGACCUUGCGCGAUUGAAUGAGCCGAUGUCGGAUUAGCUAGUUGGCGGGGUAAAGGCCCACAAAGGCGACGAUCCGUAGCUGGUCUGAGAGGAUGAUCAGCCACACUGGAACUGAGACACGGUCCAGACUCCUACGGAAGGCAGCAGUGGGGAAUAUUGGACAAUGGGCGCAAGCCUGAUCCAGCCAUACCGCGUGGGUGAAGAAGGCCUUCGGGUUGUAAAGCCCUUUUGUUGGGAAAGAAAAGCAGCAGGUUAAUACCCCGCUGUUCUGACGGUACCCAAAGAAUAAGCACCGGCUAACUUCGUG